UACGUGGUGGUCUAGUUGAAAUGCUCAAUUGGCUUCCCUCCAUUGAAAACCUAACCAGUCUAGCGCUAUGUCAUUCUAAUAUCUUGGAGAAUCCGUCUUCAGUUCUUCAGUUUCUUCCCAAAUUAAAACAUCUUAGACUUUGGGAAGCCUAUAAGGCAAAGCUCAUUGGGAAAGAGUUUUGCGAAUCAGGUGGAUUUCCGAAGCUGGAAACUUUGAUAAUUGCUU
rnacentral:misc_RNA from 1 species